rnacentral:rRNA from 1 species
ACGCACGCUGGCGGCGUGCUUAACACAUGCAAGUCGAACGAAGAGCGAUGGAAGCUUGCUUCUAUCAAUCUUAGUGGCGAACGGGUGAGUAACGCGUAAUCAACCUGCCCUUCAGAGGGGGACAACAGUUGGAAACGACUGCUAAUACCGCAUACGAUCUAAUCUCGGCAUCGAGGAUAGAUGAAAGGUGGCCUCUACAUGUAAGCUAUCACUGAAGGAGGGGAUUGCGUCUGAUUAGCUAGUUGGAGGGGUAACGGCCCACCAAGGCGAUGAUCAGUAGCCGGUCUGAGAGGAUGAACGGCCACAUUGGGACUGAGACACGGCCCAGACUCCUACGGGAGGCAGCAGUGGGGAAUCUUCCGCAAUGGACGAAAGUCUGACGGAGCAACGCCGCGUGAGUGAUGACGGCCUUCGGGCUGUAAAGCUCUGUUAAUCGGGACGAAAGGCCUUCUUGCGAACAGUUAGAAGGAUUGACGGUACCGGAAUAGAAAGCCACGGCUAACUACGUG